rnacentral:lncRNA from 1 species
CGCAGCUCCUAUCUCCAUCGGUCUCAAACCACGAUCUUUCUCCGUUCGCGCCACAACCGCUGGUUACGACUUGAACGCUUUCACGUUCGACCCGAUCAAGGAAUCGAUCGUGUCACGUGAGAUGACGAGAAGGUACAUGACGGAUAUGAUCACUUAUGCUGAGACUGAUGUCGUCGUCGUUGGUGCUGGAUCUGCUGGUUUAUCUGCUGCUUAUGAGAUCAGUAAGAACCCUAAUGUUCAAGUUGCCAUUAUUGAGCAAUCUGUUAGUCCUGGUGGUGGUGCUUGGCUCGGUGGUCAGCUUUUCUCCGCCAUGGUAAGAUUUAGAUUCAUUUGCAUGUGUGAUUUUGUUGAAGUUUUGAGUUCUGUUUCUGUUUUAAUGGAGAAUUAGGGUUUAGAUUGAAUCAUUAUGAGUAUUGAUUGCUUGUGCUUAUGGUAGAUUGUUCGCAAACCAGCUCACUUGUUCCUUGACGAGAUUGGUGUGGCUUACGAUGAGCAAGACACCUACGUUGUGGUUAAGCACGCGGCUCUGUUCACAUCAACCAUCAUGAGCAAGCUUUUGGCUCGUCCUAAUGUGAAGCUCUUCAACGCUGUGGCUGCUGAGGAUUUGAUUGUGAAAGGAAACAGAGUUGGUGGUGUGGUGACUAACUGGGCUCUUGUGGCUCAGAACCACCACACACAAUCGUGUAUGGACCCUAAUGUUAUGGAAGCGAAGAUUGUGGUUAGCUCUUGUGGUCAUGAUGGUCCUUUUGGAGCUACUGGUGUUAAGAGGUUGAAGAGUAUUGGGAUGAUUGAUCAUGUUCCUGGGAUGAAAGCUUUGGACAUGAACACUGCUGAGGACGCUAUUGUGAGGUUGACCAGAGAGGUUGUUCCUGGUAU